GACGAACGCUGGCGGCGUGCUUAACACAUGCAAGACGAACGGAAAGGCCCUGCUUUUGUGGGGUGCUCGAGUGGCGAACGGGUGAGUAACACGUGAGUAACCUGCCCUUGACUUUGGGAUAACUUCAGGAAACUGGGGCUAAUACCGGAUAGGAGCUCCUGCUGCACGGUGGGGGUUGGAAAGUUUCGGCGGUUGGGGAUGGACUCGCGGCUUAUCAGCUUGUUGGUGGGGUAGUGGCUUACCAAGGCUUUGACGGGUAGCCGGCCUGAGAGGGUGACCGGCCACAUUGGGACUGAGAUACGGCCCAGACUCCUACGGGAGGCAGCAGUGGGGAAUAUUGCACAAUGGGCGGAAGCCUGAUGCAGCAACGCCGCGUGCGGGAUGACGGCCUUCGGGUUGUAAACCGCUUUCGCCUGUGACGAAGCGUGAGUGACGGUAAUGGGUAAAGAAGCACCGGCUAACUACGUG
rnacentral:rRNA from 1 species